AUCCAGCUGAUGAGUCCCAAAUAGAAAGAAACGCACAUCCUGUAU
rnacentral:hammerhead_ribozyme from 1 species